rnacentral:rRNA from 1 species
AGCUCCAAUAGCGUAUAUUAAAGUUGUUGCGGUUAAAAAGCUCGUAGUUGGAUUUCUGCUGAGGACAGCUGAACCGCCCUCUGGGUGAGAACUUGGCUCAGCCUUUGCAUACAUUUGGAAAACACGUCUGCACUUGAUUGUGUGGUGUGGAAUUCAAAGCUUUUUACCUUGAGGAAAUCAAAGUGUUUCCAGCAGGCUAAUGCCUUGAAUAUGCUAGCAUGGAAUAAUGAUAUAAGGUUUCAAUUUUCAAUUUGUUGGUUUACAAAAUUGAAACAAUGAUUGAUAGGGAUAGUUGGGGGCAUUUGUAUUUAAUUGUCAGAGGUGAAAUUCUUGGAUUUGUUAAAGACAAACUAUUGCGAAAGCAUUUGCCAAGGAUGUUUUCU